rnacentral:rRNA from 1 species
GUGGGGAAUAUUGGACAAUGGGGGGAACCCUGAUCCAGCCAUGCCGCGUGUGUGAAGAAGGCCUUUUGGUUGUAAAGCACUUUAAGCGAGGAGGAGGCUACCGAGAUUAAUACUCUUGGAUAGUGGACGUUACUCGCAGAAUAAGCACCGGCUAACUCUGUGCCAGCAGCCGCGGUAAUACAGAGGGUGCAAGCGUUAAUCGGAUUUACUGGGCGUAAGCGCGCGUAGGUGGCAAAUUAAGUCAAAUGUGAAAUCCCCGAGCUUAACUUGGGAAUUGCAUUCGAUACUGGUUGGCUAGAGUAUGGGAGAGGAUGGUAGAAUUCCAGGUGUAGCGGUGAAAUGCGUAGAGAUCUGGAGGAAUACCGAUUGCGAAGGCAGCCAUCUGGCCUAAUACUGACGCUGAGGUACGAAAGCAUGGGGAGCAAACAGGAUUAGAUACCCGUGUAGUCC